GUAUAAAGUAUUGAAUCUCGGACUCCUAAAUUUAAUUUAAAUAAAUGGUAAACAAAAUAUAACAUAUGAAAUGUAAAUUAUAAGAAGUGAUCUCGAAAAUUUCUCGAGAAAGAAAGAGAGUGAGAGAGCAUCGAAAAGAAAAAGAAGAAAAGAGAAAGAAAAACGAUAUAAGGGCCGGUUAAAUCAUAUGCAGCGUUGUCGGCGUGAAGUUGGUUAGGUCUUUUGCGGUUCGCAACACUAGUGCGGCGGUGGUGGCGAUGGUGGUGGUCGUCGUAGAUUUGGCACGCCAGCAUUGAUUUCUGUGGGUAGCUCCGAUCUAGACUGGGCUCUGGAUUUUUGAGCUGAUUGUUUCCAUUUUGGACCGUAGUUUUUUUUUUUUUAGGUUGAAUUAUUUUAUGGGUGGGGUUCUGGAUAGUUCUAUCUCUUGAGAUACUUCUUGAACCGAUAGUGCCUAAUUAAUUAGCCUCUAAACUUGUUAAAUGCAAUAUCAUUUGCAUUAUUAAAAAAAAUUAAAUUAAAAAAAUAAAUUACAAUGAUUAUUUUC